GAGAGGUAAGAAAGACCUGCUAAGUCUUUAAUCUGAUAAACCAUCAGCCCUCUCU
rnacentral:tRNA from 1 species